AGAGUUUGAUCCUGGCUCAGAUUGAACGCUGGCGGCAGGCCUAACACAUGCAAGUCGAGCGGUAGAGAGAAGCUUGCUUCUCUUGAGAGCGGCGGACGGGUGAGUAAUGCCUAGGAAUCUGCCUGGUAGUGGGGGAUAACGUUCGGAAACGGACGCUAAUACCGCAUACGUCCUACGGGAGAAAGCAGGGGACCUUCGGGCCUUGCGCUAUCAGAUGAGCCUAGGUCGGAUUAGCUAGUUGGUGGGGUAAUGGCUCACCAAGGCGACGAUCCGUAACUGGUCUGAGAGGAUGAUCAGUCACACUGGAACUGAGACACGGUCCAGACUCCUACGGGAGGCAGCAGUGGGGAAUAUUGGACAAUGGGCGAAAGCCUGAUCCAGCCAUGCCGCGUGUGUGAAGAAGGUCUUCGGAUUGUAAAGCACUUUAAGUUGGGAGGAAGGGCAGUAAAUUAAUACUUUGCUGUUUUGACGUUACCGACAGAAUAAGCACCGGCUAACUCUGUGCCAGCAGCCGCGGUAAUACAGAGGGUGCAAGCGUUAAUCGGAAUUACUGGGCGUAAAGCGCGCGUAGGUGGUUAGUUAAGUUGGAUGUGAAAUCCCCGGGCUCAACCUGGGAACUGCAUUCAAAACUGACUGACUAGAG
rnacentral:rRNA from 1 species